CCUCGAGCUGCACCGGGCCAAGGCCUCGCGUCGUGACCACGGUGGCAAUCGCAAGAACCGCCAAAAUGCUGGCGGCCCAGCAUUCGAUAGUGGCGAAGAAUACAGCUCUUCCAGCUCCAUCGAGGAGCAAACUUCCAAGAAGAAUCUCUUCAAGAAGCCAAAAAGCAAGAGAAACUCCAUUGUUGUGACUGCCACUAUUCACUCGGAGCCACGCAACUCUGACGACGAAAAUCAGGAGAAGGGUGACGCUGGAAAGUCGAGUGGAUCCUCCGCUG